AAAGAUUACUCUCUCCGUUCAUUUUUACUUGUCAGAUGUCACUAUUUGACUUGACAUAUCUAUUAAGAAAAUAAUUAUUGAUAUAAGUGUUUUAUAUCAUACUAUCCCUAUUAAUUGAAAAAAAAUAUUUAUUACUAAGGAUAAAACAUGAAAACAGUUAAUUGUGUUUUCUUGAUAUGUUAAAAGUAGAAUAAAAAUAAUAGUUGAUUGGGUUGAAGUAUAUUUUUCCCCUUCAAAUCAACGUACAGUUCAUACAUCUUUUCAUUGUUUCUUCCCCCUAUUUUUCUUUUUGUUUGUUGAAAGAGAAAGUGGACGAAUUCAAAUCGAGUUGUUUCCAUUCCUCGACAGUUGUUUAAUGGGUGAAUUUGGUCCUUUAGGUAAAUGCAACUUGGUUGUCAAAAAAAAAUCCUAAUUUAUUGUAUGGAUUAGUUUUAUUUUGUGACAUAUUAACUCACAAUUUUUAUCAUUCUCAAUCUGAUCAAGACCAAAUAGAAAUUGGUUGAUGACUGAUAUAGAUGAGUGGGCAACAAUUAUAUGCUAGCUCAUCAUUUAUCGUUUAGUUCAAAUUCAAAUUGAACUACGAUGUAAGUUGAGCAAAUGAUCAAACAUUGAACUUGUCGACCAAUACCCUAUCUAAAUUCUGAACCAUGGGAUUGGUCCGCUGGCGGCGCAGCUGGAGAUUAUGAGGGCAGCCGAGAAAGAUGACCAGUACAAGAGUCGUUGUAGCUUACCAGAAUGAGUAAUCUGGUGUUGUACGGGUGGGAGAAUGCAAGUACUCGAUUAUUGGUACUGGUGGGAGAGUGCAAUUCUCUCAAAAAAUUUAAGGAUGACAAUAGGGUGGGGCGGGUUGAGCUUAAUCCGCAAAAAAUUUAAUCCACUUCACACAUUCCUGCAAUAUAAUGAGAAGCCUGAAUGUCCUCUUUGUAACACAUUCAAGCUUAGUCUGUCUAUAUCAUUCAGAUUUUUAGUCAUGGAUAGGUCAGGUGUUUCAAAAAGAUGACUGCAUAUAAAUCAUGGACACGUCUAUUCCAUAUGUAUCAGAAAAGAUUCACUCGUUCAGUAUUGUACUUCAUGACCUGAAAUGUGAGAUCCAGGGGCAUAGCUAUGUUAUAGCAAGGGUGUCCAAUUCAUCGAAAAAUAAUAGCGUAUAUAUAAGUAAAAUGAUAUACAAAGUGAUUAAAUAACAUAUUCUGAACACCCUUGACAUAAUAAGGUGUUGUAGCCCAGUGAUUUUAGCCGCCUUGGAAGUGCUGUUGGGGUAAAGGGUGGUUGUGAUCUGUGGAAGGAAGGUUAACUUUGGCGCCACACAUAGUGGUGUAGCAGAUCAUUUUAUCGAAAACAAGCACAUAACAACUUUACUUGAUUUACACGACAGCCUACUUGUCUUGCACUGAACAACUACCAUUAGAUUUUCCUUCACAAGAAGGUGGCAGAGCUGUUCUGGAUAUUAGUAUCAAUUUUACAUGUGCUUUGGGAAUGGAUUAAUCACUGUUGAGGUAUGACCGCUAUUUGUGAUGUAAUUCAAGAACUUGCACCAAAUUCAGUAUAUGAUUGUGAUAUAGUCCAAAAUAUAAAGAUGAAAAAUUCUUUAACUAA